UAGUUAAAUAUCGGUUUAGAAAUCUAUGUUCAGCACAAUGUAGAAUUGAAUACUAUACUAAUGAUUCAUUUCUUAACUUUCUCUGUUGCAGCAGGAAUUCACAGAAGGUAAGCCAAGGAUGGGAAGAUUAUGCACCUGUGUCGUAGGGGAUACUUUCAAUUCUGAUAAGGACUUGGUAAGACAACUCACUGGCAGAGGAGACUGUACUGAAGUGUCACUAGUGGAGAGUGAUGUCAUCAUAAUGAUCUGUCCUAUGUUCGGUAACUUUGGAAUUCUGGACCUUGAUAUACAACUGGAGGUGGUCUCAGAAUACCUAGCUGGUAGACCUGUUGUUCUGGUGGUGCUGCAUCAUGACACUUUUGACCCAGACUCCACUAUACCUGACAGCAGCAGACUAGUGACCAGGGGCGAGGUAAUACUCACAGUGGACUGUCUGUUUAAUCACAGAGGACUGCUGGACUGUCCUCGCAAUAAAGAAGCAGUCGAUAUGAUUCUGAAGAGGCUAAACGUCCAACCAAAGGUAUAUUAAACUUAUAGCCCACUUUAAGUUAUUUAGCACCCGCACUUGCCCCUGUUUGGGUGGGUUGAGUUUUGGCCAGCCUGGCGACAUAAUGAGUUAAAAGACAAUUUAAAAAAGGGAUUUCCAAACUUCUCUGCCAAUAACAGCUAGUUUUCAGUUUUCCCCUCCCCACUCAGACCACUCCCAGACAGUCCUAGGAAAAAUUAUGUUUGGCUCAAUGUAUGACUGAAUUGUAUAAGCACUUCUUUCAAUCAACUUAUGGAAACCACCAAAAUGACUGUUGAAGGGAUGCAAUGAAUUGUAUAUUGAUAUUGAAUUGAGUUUCCAACUGACACGAGUUGAAUAUAUUGUACAUUAAACAACAACAACAAAAYACUGUUGUAAAAGUAAUUAAACAGUUUCCCCUAUUGAAUGUGCAUUGAUUGAAACCUGAAGUCAUCUGAAAUAAAAUCUUCAAAUGCUGAUGACGUCUUGCAAAUGCAAUAAAAACAAAAACAGCUUUGAUGAAAUGUGAA